CUACCCCCUUUAAGGCUGCUGCCUGUGGGUAUUUAAGAGGCUAAUACAGCAGGGUAAAGGAGCUCUCUGAAAGACCCAGAGAGGACACUGUAGACCUCCUUUUUGGGUCCUGAUGGGAAAUUU